rnacentral:rRNA from 1 species
AACACGUGGACAACCUACCCUUAGGACGGGGAUAAACCCGGGAAACUGGGUAUAAUACCCGAUGGUCCUCGGCUGCUGGAAUGCAUCGAGGACGAAAGCUCCGGUGCCUAAGGAUGGGUCUGCGGCCUAUCAGGUAGUAGUGGGUGUAACGUACCUACUAGCCUACGACGGGUACGGGUUGUGAGAGCAAGAGCCCGGAGAUGGAUUCUGAGACACGAAUCCAGGCCCUACGGGGUGCAGCAGGCGCGAAAACUUUACAAUGCUGGCAACAGCGAUAAGGGGACCUCGAGUGCCAGGUUAUAAAUCUGGCUGUCGAGAUGCCUAAAAAGCAUUUCAUAGCAAGGGCCGGGCAAGACCGGUGCCAGCCGCCACGGUAACACCGGCGGCUCGAGUGGUAACCGUUAUUAUUGGGUCUAAAGGGUCUGUAGCCGGCCGGAUAAGUCUCUUGGGAAAUCUGGCAGCUCAACUGUCAGGCUUUCAGGAGAUACUGUCUGGCUCGAGGCCGGGAGAGGUGAGAGGUACUUCAGGGGUAGGGGUGAAAUCUUGUAAUCCUUGAAGGACCACCAGUGGCGAAGGCGUCUCACCAGAACGGACCUGACGGCAAGGGACGAAAGCUAGGGGCACGAACCGGAUUAGAUACCCGGGUAGUCCUAGCCGUAAACGAUACUCGCUAGGUGUCGGCCACGGUGCGACCGUUGUCGGUGCCGUAGGGAAGCCGUGAAGCGAGCCACCUGGGAAGUACGGCCGCAAGGCUGAAACUUAA